UAAACCAGCUAAUCAAGCUCUUUCUAUGUAAACUAGAAACUUCCAGGGAGGUGCGUUGAAGAAAGUUAAAGCUAAACUACACUCAAAAAAAUGAACUUUCCCUAUUGUUAGUUUUACUAUACCCAUCCUUGUUCACAUUACAUAAAACAUAAAAGUAAUUCAAUUUACACAAGUUAACUAUGUUAUUUCUACAAAAAUUGAGUACUGUAGGCUUUACCUAAUAAGGGUUUGACUGGACAACUUAACAUUGUGGAAUAAAUCGCAAAACCCUCUUAAGUUUGGAUAUUUGCGGAUACCGUAGCUUACCUAUGGGCGGAGCACCGGAACAGAACGGAAGGCAGACGAACGUGCAAAGCACAUUGAGGAGGAGAAGAUGGUGGCUUUUUCAGAUUGCUGCUGAAUUCAGUUGAAUCACUUCUGUCCCAUUAAUUCAAACAUGUCAAAACUGGAUAGUUACUCCAGCAAGCUGGCCAGCAUCUCCCGUAGAGAAGGAGGAAUUGCAUAGAGGGCAUAAUAUUUGGAAAGUGAUGGCCACCAUUGAUGAGAAUGAUGGAGAGCUUGCAUUCUCGGAGCAUUUUCUGUGUAUCUUAAUGAAGAUUUUGAAAACCUCAUGAAGGAGUAUACUGUAAGUGUUCAAGCACUGAAUGUUUAAAAUGCCACCACAUAAAUUCACAUAAUAUAAUCAAGAAAUAUCAAUACACAAAGUAUAUUUAACUUGGGGUUAUCAAAAGUACAGACUAACCCUAACAAACACAGUAAAGUUGUUUUGUAAGUCACUGCAGGUGCGUUAUGUGAAAGAUUGAGGAAUGGACAGUUGAUACAAAAUUCACUAAAUUUACAAUCUGUAUUUUAAUGGAAUUAAACUGACUUAACAGUGGUACUGUUUUUGUGUUUUAUAGGACACAGGCUUUGAAAACUCUGAGAGAGAGAGAGAGAGAGAGAGAGAGAGAGAGAGAGAGAGAGAGAGAGAGAGACAUGGCCAAUACUCUCAUUUAUAAUCUACAUCGUCAGACCUGAAGGUGCAGAAGCCUGUGACCCACCAUCAGGUGUUGGACUGAUUGUUGAGGGAGUGAAAGUGCUUCAGAACCUUGGCGAUGUCACCAAGGCUUGUGCUCUUCUUUUGGGAGUAAUAUACAGCUUGAGUCUCAGUUAUCCUUCAGACCUGAAAUACACCCGAGUUUUUUUUUUUUUUUAGUUUUGCUGGGACUUGAAGAACUCAAGAACAAACUUGACUGAAUCAGUACAUCAUUCUGGACAAAUGAAAGAAAUAGAGGAAGAAGCUUUUUGUGACAUUUAAAUUGUUUUAUGGUUUUAAAAUUAAUGUGAUGUUAUCUUUGUUGAUGGCACCAAAGUUUUAAAUGAAGUUCUGCAACUUUAAAUGGCUAAAUGGUUUGGUUAUUUACAAAGAUUAGAGGUCAGUUUUAAUCUUUUCUUUACUAAUGGCUCGAACGAUUUCAGAUAUCCAAAAUUGAACACUGUAGCAGUUUGUGUCAUGCUGCCUGCCUUAAACUUUGCUUUUCUUUUUCCAAGUAAAAUGUAUUAUUUGCAGUUGCAUAUAGUAAAAUAACAUUUUGGUCAAUAAUAAAAAAAAAAAAAUUUCGUGUUUUUUUUCUGUCUUUUUGAAACUAAAUGUUAUUUUGGUGGGGGUUGUCAUAAAGAGGCCAGUUGUAUACUUUAACAAUCGCUUAAACAUUUUAAAAUAUCAGCAAUGUUGCAUUUCAUGACAGUAUUGAAAAAAAAUGUCCUUACACAUUUUCUUUUGUAAAUUCUUAUUACAAUAUUUGAAGGAAGUAGCACAUUGUAACAAUGUUCACUAUUGACCAAAGUGUUUUUUUUUUUGUUUUUAAAAAAUCCUCUUUAAACUGCUAUUUCAACCGUUUGUGGAUGUUUACAAAAAUCGAGGCCAGUUUGAAAGUUACUUUAACUAUUCAUUGUAAAGAUCAGAAAUAGAGUUUAGCAGUAUUUUAACAUUCCAUGUAUUUAAUAUUUCAAAUUAAGAUUAUUUCAAAUUCUUAAAGCCAGUUACACUUUAAAAGACCUUGUAAAUGUUUACUGUAAAUCCUUUGUUUUUGUGUAUUUGUUUCAAAGGACCUGUGAAAUUGAAAUUGUUUUAUGGAUUUUAGGUGUUGUAUGUUGCAAAACCUUGCAAAAAAAUAAAUUCAUUUUGUUUCUAAAAA